UUCCUUAAUAAGGACUUGUAUGAACGGCUAAAUGAGGAUAAACCUGUCUCCUAUGCCUAAUCAGUGAAACUGAUCUCCCAGUACAAAAGCUGGAAUAAUAACAUAAGACGAGAAGACCCUGUGGAGCUUUAAACUAAAUACUAACAUAACACGAACUAGUAUUAAAUUUUAAGUUGGGGCGACUUCGGAAUAAAACAAAACCUCCGAGCACAGAACCACCACUUCUUACCAAGGCCAACAAGCCAAAACAACCCGACCCAGUCCACACUGACCAACGAACCAAGUUACCCCAGGGAUAACAGCGCUAUCUUCUUCAAGAGUCCCUAUCGACAAGAAGGUUUACGACCUCGAUGUUGGAUCAGGACACCCAAAUGGUGCAGCCGCUAUUAAAGGUUCGUUUGUUCAACGAUUAACAGUCCUACGUGAUCUGAGUUCAGACCGGAGA
rnacentral:rRNA from 1 species